GACGAACGCUGGCGGCGUGCUUAACACAUGCAAGUCGAACGGUAAGGCCCUUCGGGGUACACGAGUGGCGAACGGGUGAGUAACACGUGGGUGAUCUGCCCUGCACUUCGGGAUAAGCCUGGGAAACUGGGUCUAAUACCGGAUAGGACCACUGCCUGCAUGGGUGGUGGUGGAAAGCUUUUGCGGUGUGGGAUGGGCCCGCGGCCUAUCAGCUUGUUGGUGGGGUGAUGGCCUACCAAGGCGAAGACGGGUAGCCGGCCUGAGAGGGUGACCGGGCACACUGGGACUGGGAUACGGCCCAGACUCCUACGGGAGGCAGCAGUGGGGAAUAUUGCACAAUGGGCGCAAGCGUGAUGCAGCGACGCCGCGUGAGGGAUGACGGCCUUCGGGUUGUAAACCUCUUUCAGCACCGACGAAGCGCAAGUGACGGUAGGUGCAGAAGAAGGACCGGCCAACUACGUGCCAGCCGCCGCCGUAA
rnacentral:rRNA from 1 species